rnacentral:rRNA from 1 species
UACGUAGGUGGCAAGCGUUGUCCGGAUUUACUGGGCGUAAAGAGCGCGCAGGCGGUCGAUUAAGUCGAAUGUGAAAGCCCCCGGCUCAACUGGGGAGGGUCAUUCGAUACUGAUCGACUUGAAGGCAGGAGAGAGAAGUGGAAUUCCCGGUGUAGUGGUGAAAUGCGUAGAUAUCGGGAGGAACACCAGUGGCGAAGGCGACUUCUUGGCCUGUUCUUGACGCUGAGGCGCGAAAGCUAGGGGAGCAAACAGG